rnacentral:rRNA from 1 species
UGACGAGAAUACCCCGUGAAGUUAGAAAUUUAAGUUAUUGGGGAGUUCCAAGGCUAUUUGUAGCCGAAUCGUUGAGGAGCACUAGAACUAAGUGUUUCAGAAGGGGUGAAUAAUAGCAGUUUUGGCUGGGGCAGCAAAGGAGCAAAGCUAGACUCCUUUAGGGUGUAAAACAGAUGUGUUACGACCCACAAACAUUAAGGUGUGAUUAUCAGAAGAAGUUACUCCGGGGAUAACAGCGUAAUCUGUCUUGAUAGUUCUUAUAGAUGGGCGGGUUUGCGA